rnacentral:rRNA from 1 species
UACGGAGGAUUCGAGCGUUAUCCGGAUUUAUUGGGUUUAAAGGGUGCGUAGGCUGUCGGAUAAGUUAGAGGUCAAAUGUCGGGGCUUAACCCCGUGCCUGCCUCUGAUACUGUUCGACUGGAGAGCGGAUGCAGCAGGCGGAAUGAGUAGUGUAGCGGUGAAAUGCAUAGAUAUCACGCAGAACGCCGAUUGCGAAGGCAGCUUACCGGCGCUCAACUGACGCUGAGGCACGAAAGUGCGGGUAUCGAACAGG